GUGCCAGCCGCAGCGGUAAUACGGAGGAUCCAAGCGUUAUCCGGAAUCAUUGGGUUUAAAGGGUCCGUAGGCGGCUUUAUAAGUCAGUGGUGAAAUCCGGCAGCUCAACUGUCGAACUGCCUCUGAUACUGUAGAGCUUGAAUUACUGUGAAGUAACUAGAAUAUGUAGUGUAGCGGUGAAAUGCUUAGAUAUUACAUGGAAUACCAAUUGCGAAGGCAGGUUACUAACAUUAUAUUGACGCUGAUGGACGAAAGCGUGGGAGCGAACAGGAUAGAUACCCUGGUAGUCCACGCCGUAACGAUGGAUAC
rnacentral:rRNA from 1 species